rnacentral:rRNA from 1 species
CACAAGUAGGAUUGACAGAUUGAGAGCUCUUUCUUGAUUUUGUGGGUGGUGGUGCAUGGCCGUUCUUAGUUGGUGGAGUGAUUUGUCUGCUUAAUUGCGAUAACGAACGAGACCUUAACCUGCUAAAUAGCCCGUAUUGCUUUGGCAGUACGCUGGCUUCUUAGAGGGACUAUCGGCUCAAGCCGAUGGAAGUUUGAGGCAAUAACAGGUCUGUGAUGCCCUUAGAUGUUCUGGGCCGCACGCGCGCUACACUGACACAGCCGGCGAGUUCUCCCUUGGCCGGAAGGUCCGGGUAAUCUUGUUAAACUGUGUCGUGC